CAACCACUCAAGCUCACGCUUGGUCUUGGGGUUCGCGGUUCCGCGGCCUCUAAAAUCAGUGGCGGUGCCUGUCGGCUCUACGCGUAGUAAUACUCCUCGCGUUUGAGUCCGGUAGGUUUACUUGCCAGCAACCCCCAAUUUUUACA
rnacentral:misc_RNA from 1 species